rnacentral:rRNA from 1 species
AUUGAACGCUGGCGGCAGGCCUAACACAUGCAAGUCGAACGGUAACAGGAAGAAGCUUGCUUCUUUGCUGACGAGUGGCGGACGGGUGAGUAAUGUCUGGGAAACUGCCUGAUGGAGGGGGAUAACUACUGGAAACGGGAGCUAAUACCGCAUAACGUCUCAAGACCAAAGAGGGGGACCUUCGGGCCUCUUGCCAUCGGAUGUGCCCAGAUGGGAUUAGCUAGUAGGUGGGGUAACGGCUCACCUAGGCGACGAUCCCUAGCUGGUCUGAGAGGAUGACCAGCCACACUGGAACUGAGACACGGUCCAGACUCCUACGGGAGGCAGCAGUGGGGAAUAUUGCACAAUGGGCGCAAGCCUGAUGCAGCCAUGCCGCGUGUAUGAAGAAGGCCUUCGGGUUGUAAAGUACUUUCAGCGGGGAGGAAGGGAGUAAAGUUAAUACCUUUGCUCAUUGACGUUACCCGCAGAAGAAGCACCGGCUAACUCCGUG